GACGAACGCUGGCGGCGUGCUUAACACAUGCAAGUCGAACGGAAAGACCCCGCUUUUGUGGGGUGCUCGAGUGGCGAACGGGUGAGUAACACGUGAGUAACCUGCCCUUGACUUUGGGAUAACUUCAGGAAACUGGGGCUAAUACCGGAUAGGAGCUCCUGCUGCAUGGUGGGGGUUGGAAAGUUUCGGCGGUUGGGGAUGGACUCGCGGCUUAUCAGCUUGUUGGUGGGGUAGUGGCUUACCAAGGCUUUGACGGGUAGCCGGCCUGAGAGGGUGACCGGCCACAUUGGGACUGAGAUACGGCCCAGACUCCUACGGGAGGCAGCAGUGGGGAAUAUUGCACAAUGGGCGGAAGCCUGAUGCAGCAACGCCGCGUGCGGGAUGACGGCCUUCGGGUUGUAAACCGCUUUCGCCUGUGACGAAGCGUGAGUGACGGUAAUGGGUAAAGAAGCACCGGCUAACUACGUG
rnacentral:rRNA from 1 species